rnacentral:ncRNA from 2 species
UUAAAUACAUAAAGAUUUGGUGUUUUCUAAACGCAUUUCUAGUUUAGAGACUUAAUAGGGAAGGUUGGUGAAAUUCCAACGCGGUCCCGCCACUGUAACUGGGAGCUUCAAGCAUGUUGCCACUGUACUUUUUGUAUGGGAAGGCGCUUGAUUUGCAAUGACCAGAAGCCAGGAGACCUGCCAGAUUCUUUGCUUCACA